rnacentral:rRNA from 1 species
GAUGAACGCUGGCGGCGUGCCUAAUACAUGCAAGUCGAGCGAAUGGAUUAAGAGCUUGCUCUUAUGAAGUUAGCGGCGGACGGGUGAGUGACACGUGGGUAACCUGCCCAUAAGACUGGGAUAACUCCGGGAAACCGGGGCUAAUACCGGAUAAUAUUUUGAACUGCAUGGUUCAAAAUUGAAAGGCGGCUUCGGCUGUCACUUAUGGAUGGACCCGCGUCGCAUUAGCUAGUUGGUGAGGUAACGGCUCACCAAGGCAACGAUGCGUAGCCGGCCUGAGAGGGUGAUCGGCCAAACGGGGACUGAGACACGGCCCAGACUCCUACGGGAGGCAGCAGUAGGGAACCUUCCGCAAUGGACGAAAGUCUGACGGAGCAACGCCGCGUGAGUGAUGAAGGCUUUCGGGUCGUAAAACUCUGUUGUUAGGGAAGAACAAGUGCUAGUUGAAUAAGCUGGCACCUUGACGGUACCUAACCAGAAAGCCACGGCUAACUACGUGCCAGCAGCCGCAGUAA